CGCGUAGGCGGCCAGCGCAAGUCAGUUGUGAAAUCUCCGGGCUUAACUCGGAAAGGUCAACUGAUACUGCGCGGCUAGAGUGCAGAAGGGGCAACUGGAAUUCUCGGUGUAGCGGUGAAAUGCGUAGAUAUCGAGAGGAACACCUGCGGCGAAGGCGGGUUGCUGGGCUGACACUGACGCUGAUGCGCGAAAGCCAGGGGAGCGAAC
rnacentral:rRNA from 1 species